AAAUUGAAGAGUUUGAUCAUGGCUCAGAUUGAACGCUGGCGGCAGGCCUAACACAUGCAAGUCGAGCGGUAGCACAGAGAGCUUGCUCUCGGGUGACGAGCGGCGGACGGGUGAGUAAUGUCUGGGAAACUGCCUGAUGGAGGGGGAUAACUACUGGAAACGGUAGCUAAUACCGCAUAACGUCGCAAGACCAAAGAGGGGGACCUUCGGGCCUCUUGCCAUCGGAUGUGCCCAGAUGGGAUUAGCUAGUAGGUGGGGUAACGGCUCACCUAGGCGACGAUCCCUAGCUGGUCUGAGAGGAUGACCAGCCACACUGGAACUGAGACACGGUCCAGACUCCUACGGGAGGCAGCAGUGGGGAAUAUUGCACAAUGGGCGCAAGCCUGAUGCAGCCAUGCCGCGUGUAUGAAGAAGGCCUUCGGGUUGUAAAGUACUUUCAGCGAGGAGGAAGGUGUUGUGGUUAAUAACCGCAGCAAUUGACGUUACUCGCAGAAGAAGCACCGGCUAACUCCGUGCCAGCAGCCGCGGUAAUACGGAGGGUGCAAGCGUUAAUCGGAAUUACUGGGCGUAAAGCGCACGCAGGCGGUCUGUCAAGUCGGAUGUGAAAUCCCCGGGCUCAACCUGGGAACUGCAUUCGAAACUGGCAGGCUAGAGUCUUGUAGAGGGGGGUAGAAUUCCAGGUGUAGCGGUGAAAUGCGUAGAGAUCUGGAGGAAUACCGGUGGCGAAGGCGGCCCCCUGGACAAAGACUGACGCUCAGGUGCGAAAGCGUGGGGAGCAAACAGGAUUAGAUACCCUGGUAGUCCACGCUGUAAACGAUGUCGAUUUGGAGGUUGUGCCCUUGAGGCGUGGCUUCCGGAGCUAACGCGUUAAAUCGACCGCCUGGGGAGUACGGCCGCAAGGUUAAAACUCAAAUGAAUUGACGGGGGCCCGCACAAGCGGUGGAGCAUGUGGUUUAAUUCGAUGCAACGCGAAGAACCUUACCUGGUCUUGACAUCCACAGAACUUUCCAGAGAUGCUUUGGUGCCUUCGGGAACUCUGAGACAGGUGCUGCAUGGCUGUCGUCAGCUCGUGUUGUGAAAUGUUGGGUUAAGUCCCGCAACGAGCGCAACCCUUAUCCUUUGUUGCCAGCGGUCCGGCCGGGAACUCAAAGGAGACUGCCAGUGAUAAACUGGAGGAAGGUGGGGAUGACGUCAAGUCAUCAUGGCCCUUACGAGUAGGGCUACACACGUGCUACAAUGGCAUAUACAAAGAGAAGCGACCUCGCGAGAGCAAGCGGACCUCAUAAAGUAUGUCGUAGUCCGGAUUGGAGUCUGCAACUCGACUCCAUGAAGUCGGAAUCGCUAGUAAUCGUGGAUCAGAAUGCCACGGUGAAUACGUUCCCGGGCCUUGUACACACCGCCCGUCACACCAUGGGAGUGGGUUGCAAAAGAAGUAGGUAGCUUAACCUUCGGGAGGGCGCUUACCACUUUGUGAUUCAUGACUGGGGUGAAGUCGUAACAAGGUAACCGUAGGGGAACCUGCGGUUGGAUCACCUCCUUA
rnacentral:rRNA from 1 species